rnacentral:lncRNA from 1 species
GUGAAUGGCUUGGAUAAAGUUAUUUUGGGUUGGAAUAUGUUAUAAUACAAUGAAUUUGAUUGAUUACAAGUGCUAGAGAUACAUGAAGAAUGUUUAGAAGUGAGAAGAAAGACUUGUUGAUAUUUGGUCCCAAAUGGGAUAAGAACCCAAAACCAAUGCUUUGAGGCAGUGAAUGGAUUGUAUAAAGUUAUUUUGGGUUAGAAUAUGAUAUAAUACAAUGAAUUUGAUUGAUUACAAGUGCUAGAGAUGCAUGAAGAAUGUUUAAAAGAGAUAAGAAAGACUUGUUGAUAUUUGGUCCCAAAUGGGAUAAGAACCCAAAACCAAUGCUUUGAGGCAGUGAAUGGAUUGUAUAAAGUUAUAUUGGGUUAGAAUAUGUUAUAAUACAAUGAAUUUGAUUGAUUACAAGUGCUAGAGAUACAUGAAUAAUGUUUAGAAGUGAGAAGAAAGACUUGUUGAUAUUUGGUCCCAAAUGGGAUAAGAAACCAAAACCAUUGCUUUGAGGCAGUGAAUGGGUUGGAUAAAGUUAUUUUGGGUUGGAAUAUGUUAAAAUACAAUGAAUU